rnacentral:rRNA from 1 species
GGGCUUUAACUGACGCUGAGGCACGAAAGCGUGGGUAGCAAACAGGAUUAGAUACCCUGGUAGUCCACGCUGUAAACGAUGAUUACUAGGUGUGGGGGGACUGACCCCUUCCGUGCCGGAGUUAACACAAUAAGUAAUCCACCUGGGGAGUACGGCCGCAAGGUUGAAACUCAAAGGAAUUGACGGGGGCCCGCACAAGCAGUGGAGUAUGUGGUUUAAUUCGAAGCAACGCGAAGAACCUUACCAGGUCUUGACAUCCAACUAACGAAGUAGAGAUACAUCAGGUGCCCUUCGGGGAAAGUUGAGACAGGUGGUGCAUGGUUGUCGUCAGCUCGUGUCGUGAGAUGUUGGGUUAAGUCCCGCAACGAGCGCAACCCUUGCUAUUAGUUGCUACGCAAGAGCACUCUAAUAGGACUGCCGUUGACAAAACGGAGGAAGGAGAGGACGACGUCAAAUCAUCAUGCCCCUUAUGACCUGGGCUACACACGUACUACAAUGGCCAUCAACAGAGGGAAGCAAAACAGCGAUGUGGAGCAAACCCCUAAAAAUGGUCUCAGUUCAGAUGCAGGCUGCAACCCGCCUGCAUGAAGUCGGAAUGCUA